rnacentral:rRNA from 1 species
CAAGUAGAACGCUGAAAUAAGAGCUUGCUCUUAUGGAUGAGUUGCGAACGGGUGAGUAACACGUGGGGAACCUACCUUCUAGCGGGGGAUAACACAUAGAAAUGUGUGCUAAUACCGCAUAAUAGUAUUUGAUGCAUAUCAGAUACUUGAAAGGCGCAAUUGCGUCACUAGAAGAUGGCCCCGCGGUGCAUUAGCUAGUUGGUGAGGUAACGGCUCACCAAGGCAAUGAUGCAUAGCCGACCUGAGAGGGUGAUCGGCCACACUGGGACUGAGACACGGCCCAGACUCCUACGGGAGGCAGCAGUAGGGAAUCUUCGGCAAUGGACGCAAGUCUGACCGAGCAACGCCGCGUGAGUGAAGAAGGUUUUCGGAUCGUAAAACUCUGUUGUAAGAGAAGAACGUUGAUGAGAGUGGAAAGUUCAUCAAGUGACGGUAUCUUACCAGAAAGCCACGGCUAACUACGUGCCAGCAGCCGCGGUAAUACGUAGGUGGCAAGCGUUGUCCGGAUUUAUUGGGCGUAAAGCGAGCGCAGGCGGUUGAUUAAGUCUGAUGUGAAAGCCCCCGGCUCAACCGGGGAGGGUCAUUGGAAACUGGUCAACUUGAGUGCAGAAGAGGAGAGUGGAAUUCCAUGUGUAGCGGUGAAAUGCGUAGAUAUAUGGAGGAACACCAGUGGCGAAGGCGGCUCUCUGGUCUGUAACUGACGCUGAGGCUCGAAAGCGUGGGGAGCGAACAGGAUUAGAUACCCUGGUAGUCCACGCCGUAAACGAUGAGUGCUAAGUGUUGGAGGGU